UGCCCACUCAAUGCAUCGCACGUAUCGACCAGUCGGUCACCUAUUUUGAAAAUUACCCACACACUUAACAUUAUUUUGGAUAAUUACAAAGAAAUUACAUCAUAUAUGUUUUGUUUAAUAACAUUUGGAUCCACCAAUUUGACUGGAUGGACACAUGGAAUAAAAUGAUACUGGCUAUUGUAACACUCCAAGCCGUCACUGUCAGACCCGUAGUGGCGAACAUGGAGAACUUCACCCUUUGCACUAAGAGAACUGAGGAUGUCUCACACCCGGAUCCAUCAGGCUCCCCACAUCCAUGUUCACCAGACACUCCAUCAGAGGCUGACAGACACGAACUGCUAUAUGACAUCCUGAGGCUACCCACAACGUAUGCCCUGAUUAAUAUCUUUGCACCAAUACCUUCUAACUCUAUGUUGUAUUUUAUUACCGAUUUGCUUUAA
rnacentral:lncRNA from 1 species